ACCCCACCAUCCUCUGUUUGAUUCCAACCCAUGUCCCUGUAACUACUUUUAUUAAAGUCUUAUCUGAACCAUCCGGAAUGAAUUCCGUUUCCUGCUGGGACCCUGAUUGAUAUAGCAAUACAGGAGGCCAACAACCUGCCUGGGAGUUUUGAAGCAGGACAGGAAUCCAGACUCAACAUGCCAUCAUGGCUCAGAGGAAGCCAAAUGCAGGAUUACAUGAUAGGCCAGAAGCUGGGUCAUGGUCUGCCAGGCCAGAUAAGCCACUCCAGGGAAAGCAGCUGCUGUGUCGCCAGCACAUUCAGCAGCCUGUAGAGAGGCACCUGUGGCGGGAAGGGAGGCCUCUGGACAUCAGCCAGCGAGGGACCGAGGCCUGCCAACAACCACAUGAGCGAGCUUGGAAAUGGAUUAUCCAGCCCCAGUCAAGCCUUGAUGGGACUGCAGCUGCUGCCAACAGCUUGACUGCUACCUUGUGAGAGAUAGCGAGCCAGGGCCACCCAGCUAAGCUGCUCCCCGUUUUCUGCCCCUCAGAAACUGCGAGAGAUAAUAAGUGUUUGUUGUUUCAAGCUGUUAAAUUUGGGGGUAAUUUGUUACACAGCAAUAGAUAACUAAAACAACUUUGUACUACUAAACAUUAAAAAUUAUCUAGGAAAUUAUGUUUCUAUCUUUGUCCAAGCUGCUAAGAAGUACAAACUGAAUACGAUUCUUGAUUUCACUUGCCUGAAAUUGUUGGUUUUUCCUCUUCCCCAUUCCCUUUAUUUUUUAAUUCUCAUACUUCAUUUUAUAUCCACUGACUUUGGUUUUAUCCUAUUUACACAUUUAUUGCAAAGCUCUUAGAGACUUUUUUUUUUUAAAUCAGAUGAGAGACAAAACAACAAAGGAAAGACAGUAAACAUUAGAUAGGAUUCUAGCCACCAUCAGAGAGAUGAAAAAUCUCAGAGAGAAAAAAGAGCAAUACAGCACAGCCCGUUACUAGUGUUCAACUAACUAGCAAUUGCUCUUAGAAUUCAAAGAAAUGAUACACCAGAAAAAUUGUGGUUUUGGUCAAUUUCCCCUGAAGCAGACCUUG